AAGUUUUUUGUUGUUGGUUUUGUUGGCAAGAAAAUGGUGGGCAGAUUAUGUGCCGAACCUGAGGAAAAAAAAAUGUAAAAGUGCAUGUGACUAAAACCAAAAAUAUAUCUCAGUGAAGUGGUUGGCGAAGUCCGUUGCAUAUAUCGUAUUUUGCACCUAUGCCAUCCACUUAACCUACGCAAUAGAUGGUUGUCCACUUCCACGUCCUCCCAUAUCAAGUGCCGUUUUCCAGAUUAGGAUUCGGCACCCAGUCAUAAUUUAUACAAAACUCAGUGGGUAAAUUGAAAUGACCCAGUGUGUAAAUUGUAACAACCCAGAUUAAAACGCAGUAUUAAU